rnacentral:rRNA from 1 species
UACGUAGAUGGCAAGCGUUGUCCGGAAUUAUUGGGCGUAAAGCGCGCGCAGGCGGUCCUUUAAGUCUGAUGUGAAAGCCCACGGCUCAACCGUGGAGGGUCAUUGGAAACUGGGGGACUUGAGUACAGAAGAGGAAAGCGGAAUUCCACGUGUAGCGGUGAAAUGCGUAGAGAUGUGGAGGAACACCAGUGGCGAAGGCGGCUUUCUGGUCUGUAACUGACGCUGAGGCGCGAAAGCGUGGGGAGCGAACCGG